rnacentral:rRNA from 1 species
UGGGGAAUCUUCCGCAAUGGACGAAAGUCUGACGGAGCAACGCCGCGUGAGUGAAGACGGCCUUCGGGUUGUAAAGCUCUGUGAUCCGGGACGAAAGAGCCUGAGGUGAAUAGCCUAAGGAAGUGACGGUAUCGGAAAAGCAAGCCACGGCUAACUACGUGCCAGCAGCCGCGGUAAUACGUAGGUGGCAAGCGUUGUCCGGAAUUAUUGGGCGUAAAGCGCGCGCAGGCGGCUUCCUAAGUCCAUCUUAAAAGUGCGGGGCUUAACCCCGUGAUGGGAUGGAAACUGGGAAGGUGGAGUAUCGGAGAGGAAAGUGGAAUUCCUAGUGUAGCGGUGAAAUGCGUAGAGAUUAGGAAGAACACCGGUGGCGAAGGCGACUUUCUGGACGAAAACUGACGCUGAGGCGCGAAAGCGUGGGGAGCAAACAGG